GUAAGCGGAUGGGCUCGGCCUCAAGGACAGGGUGCUCGGCUGAAAAAAAAGCUAGCGGCGAUCACCGGUGCCAGGGCUCUCCAGAAACGGAGCCCAUCUAACCAAUGCCCAGCACACUCGCUCUGCUCCACACACGAGACCACCUCCGACCCGCACUAAGUUGGCCAACUGCACUCUGGAGGCGGCGGCAGCCAGCGAGGGAGAAGGGAAAGGCUGUCCCGGGACCCCGAGGAGGACUGCCCCGCCCCCGGGAACCGGGUGCGGCGUAAAACAACCCCGGCUCCGGGCCGACCCUUCCUGGCCCCUUGGAGGCCCAGGCGGGGCGGCGGGGGGCGACGCGGCAGGGGUCUCCGCGCCCAGGCUCCCGCGGAGCGGCCACACGUGGAGGUUCCCACUUUGGGGUCGCGGCCGCAGCAGCACCGGGCGGGAUGCUGUCCGCGCUGCCCGCGUACGGCCGCGGCCUGAGUGGAGACGCCUGCCCCCAGCCCCGAGGCCUCGGCCCCCGUCCGCCCUCUCUCCCUGCUCGGCGGCCUCGUACUCACGCUGACUUCAUGGCAGCAGGCUCCACGCCGCCCAAACGCGCAUGCGGGACGGCUGGCUGGCGAAGACUGCGGGACGUUAGGACCGGCAGCAAGAACUAGAACUUCGCGGCUAAGGCGCGGUGCUCUGCGAAGCCGGCGGCGACGCUAAGAGCCCAGGUGAGCUCCCGCCUGGCGCAUUUCAAACGGGCCAAUCAGCGCCCGUCCGCAGGGAGAGGCAGGACCUCCGCGGAAGUGACUUCGCUGCCGGAAGUGGCGCUUGUCUCCUAGGCGACCGACGCUGAAAGGGCCGCGGAGUCGCGUGUCAGGGCUGGAGGGAGAUCUUGAGGUAUGGUAUUUAAACUCUUCCGCCUUGCGAUGACGAAACUGAGGGUUUCUUUUCCUCCAUCACAAGAAGUUCAAUGGAAGGGCCUUUCCAGGGUUGAUUCAGAGGUCGGAAUGUCGUUCUGGUGAAAAGUGUUGUAUUCCUGUGCUGUGCCCUGCUCCAAGUCUCAGGCUCCGUCUCUCUGGCUCCCAAGUCACCACAUUAUCUUGGCGUCUUUUCUCUCUCUGAUUCACCUUUCCUGGGUUUCCCUCCAGCUCUGUCCUAUAUGUACAUUAUUUUAUCAAAUCUUUUUUUUUUCCUUUUUUAUUUUUUGAGGUGGAGUUGCUCUGUCGCCCAGCCUGGACUGCAGUCUUCAGCUCACUGCAACCUCCACCUCCUAGGUUCAAGCAAUUCUCUUGCCUCAGCCUCCCGAGUAGCUGGGAUUACAGGCGCGCACCACCACGCCCAGCUAAUUUUUGUAUUUUUAGUAGAGAUGAGGUUUCACCAUAUUGGCCAGGGUGGUCUAGAACUCCUGACUUAAGGUGAUCUGCCUACCUUGGCCUCCCAAAGUGCUGGGAUUACAGGCGUGAGCCACUGCGCCCGGCCUGUUUUAUCAAAUCUUGAUUGUGUUUGAUCCUGGCCUUACGGAGAUGAAUAAAAUUUGGUCCUUACCCUUAAGGGGCAACCUUUUGAACCUACUCUUGCCUUAGAUGAACUGAUUCUAUAUCACUUCUGUCUUUGACCCUAAGCCGAUGACUACCAAAUACACAUCUACACCUGGGCUCUCAUGGAACUCUAGCCCCUUCUCAACUUCCUAAAGGACCACAGCACUGGUAAGGAUAGUCACAAUGUCCUUGGCCAAUAUUGUUGGUGCUCAGGAAACGACACCCCAGAGUAUGGCUCUUUGGCACACUGAGUGCUUUGAACUAAAGAAGACUGAAAGUGCCUCAGAGAAGCCUUAAAAGCAAAGUCUGUCUCUGACUUUCUCCUGCCCUCUUGUCUCCCACCCCUCUGUGUCUCCUAAAGCAAAUAAUAGAAACCAGAAUUUCUGUUCCCCAAGGCGGGUCAUGGAAACUAGAACCCCUUUUCUCCCAAGCAAGCCAGAAACAUUAUUCUAGAAAAACCUAGAAAUAUUAAUCUAGCCUUCCCCCACCUUUUUGUGUAAGAGCUGGCCAUAAAGACAUUCUUUGAUGUACCUUGUCAUAAGACCCUCGUUCCAAAAGGGUCUUGCCCUACACUCAGGAAGAAGGAAAGCUGCACAGAGAGGCCAAGAAGAAUCUGAACAGACAGGACUUGCUGGAUUCCUCCUUCAGUCUGUUACUAUUAGAUCAUACUCCUUUUGUACAAUCACAUUUCUACACAGCUGUCCAUUCUUCAUCUCAUCUAAGCAUAAAAAUGGACAGCUUUCCCUGGGUCUUUGGGUCUUCAUUUCUGAAGGCACUUACAUCCCAUAAAACUGUGAUUCAAUAAGUUAUCCAUUUAUCUUGCUAACCUGUUUUUUGUUAUGGUAGUGUCAGCUGUGACCCUUAAGAUGGGUAAAGAAAAGUAUCACACCUUUUCCACCCCUACAUUGCACAUUAGGAUGGUUCCAACUUUUCCUAUUACAGAUACAGCUAUAGUGAAUGAAUGUGGAAAUUUAUACAAUGCAGGUAAAUAUGUAGGAAACAUUUCUAGAAACAGAAUUGCUGAGUCAAAGAGUAUACAUAUGUGUAACAUUUCACAGAUAUUGCAAAUCAUUCUCCAUAAAAGCUGUCCAAAUGUACACUCCCACCAGCCUGUAUGAGAGUGCCUAUUUCUCCACAAUUCUCAAAGUGUUAUCAAACUUUUCAGUAGCUACCAAUCUAUUGAUAUCUCAUAUCAAUUGGUGAGAAAAAACAUGUAGUUAAAUUUUUCAUUUAUUUUCAGAUAAAUGUUGUCUAUUCAUAUAUUUUAGAGCCCUUUUGAUUCCUUCUCUAUCAACUGUGUUCAUAUUCUUUGCCUCUUUGUUCUAUUGGUUGUUCGUUUUUCUUAAUGAUCUGUGAAAGUUCUUAUAUUAAAAAAAAAUUGGUCCUCAUCCAAAAUACGAGUUUAAAUACUUUUAUUUUUCACAUUUUGGUUAUUUUUAUUUGUAUAUGUUUUGUGACAGCUUGGAAAAAAUUUCAGGUAGACAGAUUAAUCCGUCUUUUCUUUUAUGGCUUCUGUUUUGUGUCAUACUGGAAAAAUACAUCCAUUCUGAGUUUUUUAUUUUAUUUCUCAUUUUUUGUUUCCUAGUGCUUUUAUUGCUUUGCUUCCUAUGUUGAAGUCUUUGAAUGAUUAGGACUUUGUUGUCAAGCUAGAGUUUGGUAUUUUGUUGGUUUGUUUGUUUUGUUUUGUUUUUUGAGACGGAGUCUGUCACGCAGGCUGGAGUGCAGUGGCGCAAUCUCGGCUCACUGCAGCUUCCGCCUCCGGGGUUCAAGCAAUUCUCCUGCCUCAGCCAGGCUGGUCUUGAACUUCUGACCUCAAGUGAUCCACCUGCCUCAGCCUCCCAAAGUGCUAGGAUUACAAGUGUGAGCCACCGCACCUGGCCUAGAGUUUGGAAUUUUUAUCAUUUAGGAAUUGGGCUUGGUUGCUGACUACUUAUAUCCUAGUUGCUCUUCAGUUUAGCUUCUACCUCAGACUCCAUUGGAACUCUUGUCACCAAAAUUACCACUUCCUUGAUGCUAAAUCUAUUUGACUUUUGUCUUACUUGGCUUCUUAACAACACUAAAAAAUGUUGCCCAUUCCUUUCUUCCCAUGCCUUUAUUUUUUCUCCUAGCUGUCUAGCCCUUCUUUCUCAGUCUCCUUUGUGAGUUCUUUUUUUCUCCCUUAAAUGUUGGGGCUCAGGGUUUAGAGCUGGUCACUAGGUGUGCCUUUUCCCUAGGCACUCUCAAGCACUCAUAUGGCUUCACAUCCCAUUCAUGUUUGCUCUUCUGAGCUCCAGAGCCAUAUAUCCAGCUGUCUUCUGGAUUCUCCACUUCGAUAUCCCACAAGCAUCUCACAUCUAACACAUUCUAAUCUCUUCUCCCAAACUUGCUCCCUCUCAGUGGAUGGCAUCCACCAAGCCAGAGUCUAAAGCAACAUUGUUAGCUUUUCUCUCUUCUUCUGUCUCAAUAUUCAAUCACUAAAUCUUAACAGUUCUACCUACUAAGUAGCCAAACCUCCAAACUGCUCCACUUUUCUCUGUCUCCUCAGCCACCAUCUUCUCUUGUCUGAUAAAGACAGCAGUCUCCUAACAGGCCUCUCUGCUGCCACUUUCCAAUUCAGUUUCCAUUUUGCUCAUCUCUAAAUCAUGGAUCUGAUUAUGUCACAUACCUAUAUGAAACUCUGCAGUGGUUCCCCAUUGUUGGAGACCCACCACAGGGCCCUGAGACGCUUCCUCUGGGGCUCAUCACCCAUCACUGCCCCCUGUCCCCUCUAGUCAUGUUGAACUGCAGUGCCCUGAACACGCUGGGCUCACACGCCAUUCUCUGUGCUGUCACGCUCUCCUCCCUCCUUUCCUCUGACAAUGCCUUGCCUUCAGUUCUCUGCAGAUCUGCCAGCUACCCUGCUGUGGAUACUGGGCCCCGUGGUACAGCCCCCACGCCCCCAAAACUGCCCUUUCCCACUCACUGCACCUGUUGACUUGUUUCAGCACUCACAUUCCAAUUGGCAGUCACUGUUCAUUCCUGUCUCCUCUACUGGCUUAUCCCCACAGCCUCACUAGAUGGCAUCGUUGCAUGCCCAGUGCCUAGCAGUGCAGGUGCCCCAUACAUGGCUUGAAGGGAUGAAUGAAUCAUCCCUUCAAAGAACGCUCCAGUUGAGGACCCAGUUACAUCGCACCACCUCCAGCUUCUCUUCAGGCCAGUUUCUUCUUCCUCCCUCACUUCUGUAUUAAAGUUCUCUGGCUUAUUAAUUUCCUUAAAACUACCAAAUAAUUACAUCAUUUUUCUAUUCAAAAAUAGCAAAGGGCUACCUAUAGCCAUUAAAAGAUUUGCAUUUUACCAUAGAAUUAGAGAUCCAGAUCAGGAGUGCGCGUAGGAGGGUGGGGAGAAGAGAACUGAGGGGCUUUUUUCUUUCUAAAGUCAAGUAUUUUAGGUAUAAUUUACAUACAGUAAAAUGGACCCUUUUUAGUUGUAUCGUUAUGUGUAUUUGACAAAUAUAUAGUGUGCUGUAACCACAAUCAAACGUAUAUUUCCAUCACAGUGGAAAAUUCUCUGGGCUGCCCCUACUCCCAGGCCUUGGCAACGACUUUUCUGAUUUUCUUCCCUAUACUUUUGCCUUUUCCAGAAUGUCUUUUCUUUCACUCAGCAUAAUGCUUUGAUAUUCAUCAAUGUGUUGCAUGUACCAGUAAUUUGUUCCCUUUUUGUUGCUGAGUCUAUUCCACUGUAUGAAUGCAGGACAAUUUAUUCAUUCACCAGUUGGACAUUUAGGUUGUUUCUACUUUCUGGAGAUUAUGAAACUGGUAUAAUUAUUUGUGUAAAAGUCUUUAUGUAGGUGUGUUUUUAUUUCUCUUGGGUGGGAUUGUGGGUCUUACGGUAAGUUUAACUUUAUUAGAAACUGUUAAAUUGGACCAGGCGAGUCUUAUCCAAAUCAUUGAAGAGGGGCUGACACUACACAAAUUCGAAAUCAUAUAUUAAUCCAAACACCCAGAUAAGCAAGUCCAGCUGUGGGAACCCAGUAAACACCAAUGACCAGAAACUGCUGAAGCCCCGAGUGUUUGAGGGGAGGUGGUAAAAUGGAGACAGCACUGCCUUGGGAUCUUGGACAUGCUCCGCACACUGUUCCCUCCCAGGCCCUGCUGGUCACUCAGUGGCCUUAGAAACAUUGUCUCAGGUUCCCAGGCCAUGAAUCUCUCUCGCCAGGCCAUUUGUAACAUGAAUGGUUAGAUGUUAAUGUUUACAUACAGAAAACACAAAUUAAUAAAAUCAACCUGGGGAUGUGUGUGUGUGUGUGUGUGUGUGUGUGUGUGUGUGUGUUGGGGAGUUGGGGGACUGUAAAAUUUACACAAAAAGAAACAAAUGACUUGAACUAUAUUUCAAAUAAAUAACAUACACAGAAAGGGGGAAAUAACCCAGGUAACUGUGACUAUUUAGAAUCAAGCUUGCCCUCAGGGUCAAGACAAAAAAAAAAAACUUGAAACGUUUUGAAUUCUAAUUAGUAGGCACAGACAUUAGUUGGUAAUUCUGAAACAACAUUCUGUACAUUCUAGGAUUGAGCAGAUAAAAUGUAUCAUGGGCUGGGUGAGGUGGCUCAUGCCUGUAAUCCCAGCAUGUUGGGAAGCUGAGGCAGGUCUAUCACUUGAGGUCGGGAAUUCGAGACCAGCCUGGCCAACAUGAUGAAACCCUGUCUCUACUAAAAAUGCAAAAAUUAGCCAGGCAUUGUGCCACGCGCCUGUAAUCCCAGCUACUCAGGAGGCUGAGGCAGAAUCGCUUGAACAUGGGAGGCAGAGGUUGCAGUGAGCCAACAUCGUGCCACUGCUCUCCAGCCCGGGCAACAGAGUGAGACUUCGUCUCAAAAAAAAAUAAAAUAAAUAAAAUAAAAUAAAACAUAUUGUGGCUAAUGGCAGUCAGCUUUCUCACUGUUGGAAAAGGGAGGAAAGGAGAAAAGGUGAAAAGUACCUGGGAAUUCUUUGCACUAUUUUGCAACAUUUUUCUAAGUCUGAAAUUGUAUUUAAAAAUGGUUGGACUAUAUCAGUGCUUCUGAACUCCCUUAUAUUAAAAAUUACCUACAGCUUUAGCUAAAAAUUUGAAACUACAGGAUCACCUCCCCCACUGUGGGUAGUCUGUGUCAGUAUGUUUGGGCCUGAGAAUCUGCAUUAUACAUCAUCGAACAAAUUUUAAAAGGGCUGAAUUAAAUGAUCUUUGAGGGCCUUUCCUUCUGUGUUCUGGAGGAGGCAAAAAAAUUCAGCCUGUUUCAGAAAUCUGUUGCUUAGCAUGAAGAGAAUGAGCGUGGCAACUGUCUGAAGUUAAUUUCUUAUGAGUUGACACAUUCCAUACAAGUACCAAGAGACAUAGGAAAGCCCUAUAGGCAAUUUCUCAAGGGAAAAAAAAUCAGGAAAAUCUCAGAAUUCUUCAAAAAUCAAGUCAUCCAGAUAUCUUCUGGAGUUAACAUCCUUCCAGUAGAACAAGUACCUGCCAGCCUUGGGACCCCUCUACUUAGCUCAACCUGCAAUCCCUUCCCCCGACAAGCUGACAAGGCUGGCUCCUUUUUGCCCAUCAAGUCUUCCUCAAAUGUCAGCUUAUCAGAGUGACCAUCAAUUCACAUGCCCUACUAGGCUUAGUUUCUUUACAGCACUUAUUAUCUGGAUUCAUCUAUAUAUCCUGUCUGCCUGCCCAACCAGAACACUAGCUUCAUUAGGGAGGGACAUUGCAGGUUUUUUUCACUUGUGUAUCCCCAGUUCCUAGGACAGUGGCCAUUCUAUACAUCCUAAGCACUAACUAUUCAUUGAAUGAUUUACUGAUACACAUGUGUACAGGGAUCUGUUUCUCAUGGUGAAUUAACAUAUUUGCAGUGUGGUAGAUAAAACAUAACCAAAUUAAGUGGCAAACAGGAUGACUUUAUGAUAAUAAAUAAAUUCUGUUUAUUUUUUUCUCUCACAUAGUUCAAGAAAACCAGACAUUAGUGUAAGUUGGAGAACAUCUGAGUUUGGAAACAGGUCUUUGCCUUAAUGGAUUGUUGACUAGAAAAUCAGAGGCCGAAAUUCAAAUAAUAUGUUUUGAAGUGUUGUUGUACCGUGUUAAUAGGUGUUUCAUAUAAAAAGGGUAGCAUGGACUGGGUGCAGUGUGGCUCAUGCCUGUAAUCCCAGCACUUUGGGAGCCUGAGGCAGACAAAUCACUUGAAUUCAGGAAUUCUAAGCCAGCCUGGGCAGCAUGGCAAAACCCUAUCUCUACAAAAAGUUAGCCAGGCUUGGUGGCAUGCACCUGUAGUCCCAGCUACUCAGGAGGCUGAGGUGGAAAGAUCACUGAAGCCUGUCAGGCAGAGGUUGCAGUGAGCCAAGAUUGCAACACUACACUCCAGCCUGGGCAACAGAACAAGACCCUGUCUCAAAAAAUAUUUUUUUUAAUUAAAAAAUGUUAAAGGGUACCAUAAGGUACAAAAUAGUGUCAAAUGAAGGGUUUCUUGAACAUAUCUGACAAUGCCAUUCUACUACACCGCACCUACCUCAGAACCUCUCAUAUGAGCAAGUUUCUACUGGGCGGGGCAGCAGGGGGAACAACACUUCCAGAAAGACUUCAGCAGACCAAAUAUUUAAACCACUUUAUACUCAGAAGACCUCUAAAUUUCCCAUAACAUCCUACCAACAAUUACAAAUUCUUUUUUUUUUUUUUUUGAGGCAGGGUCUUGCCCUGUUGCCCAGUCUGGAGCGCAAUGGCGCAAUCAUAGCUCACUGCAGCAUCCAACUCCUGGGUUCAAGCAAUCCUCCCACAUCACCCUCCACAGUAGCUGGGACCACAGGUGUGCACCACCACAACCAGCUAGUUUUAACUUUUUUUUAUAGAGACAGUGUCUGGCUCUGUUGCCCAGACUGGUCCUGAAUUCUUGGGCCCAAGCAGUCCUCCCACUUCAGCCUCCCAAAGUGCUGGGAUUACAGGCAUGAGCCACUGCAUCCAGCCACAGAUUCAUUCAUUCAUUCGUUCUUUCUUUGUUUUAAGACUAGUCAAGUGCAGUAGUGAGAAGAGGGGAAGAGUAGAACAAGGAGCUUGAUCUAUAACUGACUGCGAACAAUCAAUUGAGCUAACUCACUACCUUCAGACCAGCCACAAAUUCAUUUCUUUAGAAAAAAGAUGAGAAUUAUUUUCUAAAAACUGAGCAAUGGAAAAGGAACCCCUUCAAUGGGUAAAGGGAGGUAAAGUUAACUGAAUGGCCUUAUUCAUCAUACACAUUCAAGUUUUAUCACAGUUGUAAGGUCUGGUAAAUUUUUGAGUAGUGCUUCUCAAGCAAGGGGAGUGGGGAGAGGUACAUCCCAUUAGGAAUGUGCCACCCUCCCCACCAUAGUCUUUUUUGAGACAAUGCCAUGGUGAGCAAUUGUUACCAAUGGGAAUGUGUCACAUGUCUUAAAUGUAGUGAGACACUUUUUAAAAAUUAAGACCCACUCCAGUGAGGUCUUCAGCUGACCCCCUGCCAACCUUUUAGACUUUCUGAGAUGGCUUGGAUGAAAUUAUACUCACAUUAGACAUCUAAUGCCUAUUAUUUAAUACUUAAUGAUAAUUAAUAUAUUUGAACCCCUUCUCAUUUUGCAUAGGAAGCUUUCAAAUCAGUGUUCUGCAAACUGUCGUAAAAUUCUGAUUUAUAACACUGUCCCCAAAAGUAUAUAAUGGGACUAAAGUUUACCAAACUUAUAAAAAUGUUAUGAAACACUGGAUCUUAUUUUGUUGAUUUAACAUUUCAUUUCCAUCAUUAAGCAUGUGAAAAAGCAACAUAAGCAAAGAUUAAAUAAUCUAAAAAUCCUUCAAAUUGGUCACUCAUUAUUUCAGUACUUACUGAGCUAAACAUUAUUUUGUUACCUAUAAAGGAGAGAAUGUAAAACACUGUAUGUCUUUGGCAUUACUAGAAAGGGGUAUUUAAACUUUGUACCUUUUUUUGCCAUAAAAUUGAAGUUACAGUAAGAUGAAAUGGAAGCUCACAAGCCCUGUUGGUGUGGAAUUCCACUAAUAAUGUCAGAUUGUUGCCAGAAAAACAAAUUUUGUCAUGCAGCUUGCAAUUAAUGUACCAAAAAUUUACCAGCCCAUAUAAUUUUAUCAGUCUGCCUUCCCCAGAGGAAGUAAACAGAUAAUAAAACUAACGAAAUCAUAUUUCUUGACCACUCUCAUCCAAUAUAAAUUGUUACUUGUCCUUCGAGUAUUAGACAGUGAGCUGUUUACAAGGCCAUUCAAAUGUCUGGGCUAGUUAAUGGUAGAGGCAGUAGUCUAAAAUAUGGAGUAUUCCUGAGUCAGCAAAGAGGAUCCUGCAUUGUGAGGAAGCCCCCCUAAGUCAUUACCAAGUGCAGAUCUGGGUUUGAUGGGCCUCUGUCAAAAGUUGUUUUGCAUCCGCAUUUCUGUGUUCCCUGAAAACACCAUGAAAUACUGAACUUUAAUCAGUAAUGCAACAAAUGAGAAAAUGCUCAGUGUUUUAGAACUAUUCAGAGUAGAAAACGCUGGAACAUAAAAUGAGGUUACGCCUUAGUUGGUGAGUUGCUAAAACUUGAGAUCAGGCGAAACAAAGCUGAUAGGUCUAAUGCCUUUUGGAACAUGUAACACCAGCAGUUCUUCAAGUUUGGCCUCUGGCCCUCCUGUAUUAGAAUCAUCUGGGAGACUUGCUCCAGUGCAGAUCUCCUCUACAAAACCUACAUUUAACCUAGUGAAGCAGAACCCCCUGGUUUUCCCUAGGAGUCUGCAUUUGUCACAAGCUUACUGGAUGUUUCUGAUUCACAGUAAAGCUUGAGAACACUAUAUGUGACCACCCCACUGGCAAGGUGAUUAACUUCUUAUGCAUAUGGAUACUAAAUUUUGCAACAUAUUUGAAAUGCUGAAGCAAUAUCAAAUGUAUGACAUCCCCAAAUAUAGCAAUUUCCAUUGGUUUAAAAGGUGGCAUAUGAGCACAACCAAUUGGGAUUAACUCAGUCAACUCUUAUGGUUUAACACAUUUUACCUGCACUGAAAAAUACUUUGCAGAUCAAACUGGCAACCAGAAAACAGAACAUAACAGAACACAUGACACCCCGCUGUGGACUUUUAAGAAAAAAACUGACAAACUCCAAAUCCAUAAUGACAUGAGAACUUACACUUUGAAGGCAGAAUGGACUUGUGGGAAGAGAGGACUCCCCUUCUGUUCUCCCUUCACUAGGUGGAGAAGGGAAGAAGGGCUCUCCCCAGACAGCUCUCUUCAUUCUGGAAUGUUUUGCCAGUCCCCAAGGCACUCAGUGACCAACUUUCUUUCACAGGUCCUCCCAGUGACUGACCUGGCUCAUUCUCCGAAAGUGGUUGACAGGCCACUACGAGAGCUCUUGAGAGAAGCUUUGUGACAUGAAAUUCAUCAAAUGAAGCAAGAUUCAUUUUUAAAGAAUAAUACAAAGCUCCAGAGUAAUAUGCUUAAUCCAAAUGUUUAAAUAGAAUUUAAAACCACAUUUUAAGUAAAUUUAAAAUUAAUGAAAUAUCAAUAGUUUGCCUUAACAAGGACUUGCUUGAACCAUAUUCUCCUUUUAAAAUCACACACACAGAAUCAGUGUACAUUUAGAGAAAUUUCCCCAGCUGAAUAACAUUUUUGACAUGAAUUCAUUCAAAAGACACCAACCAUUAUGAAUAUUUUAGGCCAUGAUAAGCUGUAACCACCUCCGGCUUAUGGUGGUUAGGAUGUUGCAGCUUAAUGUUGACAUCUGGCAUGAAAAGCUUAUGGUCUGAGUCAUGUUUCUUUUUUAUGUAAUUCUGGCUUGGGAAUCCGAUACAGAGCAGCUGAGAAAUAAAUUAUGUUGCUGAGGCUGAAGAUGAUGCACAGAAGUAUGGCUCCAGCUAUCUGAGAGAAAGAGAAGGGCUUGGAGGUGGCCAGGAGCCAUUCCUUCCUCAGAGUCUUGUCCAGAAGUAUGGCUUCCAUCUGCAUGUGCGUGGCCAGGAUCACACACACGUGAAACAGCUGGUGACUGUGACCUAUGGCAAACACAAAAGGCCGUCAAGAUCAGCAAUGAAAAGGAAUGAGUACUGAUACAUGCUAUGGCAUUCAUGCUAAAAAUGAUGCUAAGUGAAAGAAACCAGACAGGAGACCACAUAUUAUAUAAAAUCUCCAGAAUAUGCAAAUCCAUAAAGACAGAGAGUAGAUUAGAGGCUGCCUCAAGCAGGGGGUGAGAAUAGGUAUUAACAGUGCAUGGGUCUGAUGGAGGGGAUGAAAAUGUUCUAAAACUGAUGUAUGGUGAAUUUACUGAAAAUAUCAUUAAAUUGUAUACUUGACAUUAGAGAAUUAUUGAAUAUGUGAAAUAUACCUUAAUAAAUUUAUUUUUAAGAAGCAAUAUGGGAAAAAUAAAAGGCCCAUCAGAGAAAACCAAAUCCAAAUUCUUUUUUAAAACAACUUAUCCACCAGUCUCAUUUUUCAGAUGAAAAAAUUAGGCACCAAAGUUCAUCUCUUGAGAGCCAGCACUGAUCAGCUCAGAGUCUCACUUCAGUGCUGAGGGAGAAGCUGGCUGAAUUUUCUGUUGGCCACUAACCAAGUGGACCUCUCCCUACUGCCAGUUAGUCACAGAUAUGACCAGGACUCUUCCUCCCCAAUGCCAUGCUGGACCCAGCUCACAUGGUGCCCUUCACAGAGGCUGGGAGCCCAGUAGAGGGUAGUGGGAGUGACAGGGACAGGGACGUGCUGGGUGGUUGGUGAGAAAACAAAUCCAAUGCCUAGGGUCGGGGGCAGCUUUGGGGGACAACCCUCAGACCCCAGGAGUAAGGAGGCGACCACAUGUGUUAUGGGCUGAAUGAUGUCCCUGAAAAAUACAUGUGCUGAAGUCUUAAGCCCCAGAAUGAGACCAUAUUUGCAGAUAGGAUCUUUAGAGAAAUAAUUAAAUAAAAAUGAAGUCUCUAAGAUGGGCCUAAUCCACUAUGACUGGUGUCCUUAUAAGGAAAGGAGUUUAGGCCAGGCGCGGUGGUUCACGCCUGUAAUCCCAGCACUUUGGGAGGCUGAGGCGGGUGGAUCACGAGGUCAGGAGAUAGAGACCAUUUUGGCUAACAUGAUGAAACCCCGUCUCUACUAAAAAUACAAAAAUUAGCCGGGCAUGGUGACACGUGCCUGUAAUCCCAGCUACUCUGGAGGCUGAGGCAGGAGAAUGGCGUGAACUCGGGAGGCAGAGCUUGCAGCGAGCCAAGAUCAUGCCACUGCACUCCAGCCUAGGCGACAGAGCGAGACUCCGUCUCAAAAAAAAAAAAAAGAAAGAAAAGGAGAUUAGGACACAGACAUGCACGUAUACAAGAAAAAGAUCAUGUGAAGACAGUUGGAAAGAACGGCCAUCGACAAGCCAAAGAGAGAGGCCUCCGGAGAAGCCUACUUGCCAACGCUUUGAUCUCAGAUUUCCAGCCUCCAGAAUUGUGAGAAAAUAAAUUUCAGUUGUUUAGGCCACAACAGUCUGUGAUACUUUGUUAUGGCAGCCCUAGCAAACUAAUGCAGCAUAAGAGUUAAAUAAGGUUUCUCUUUUGGUUUAAAAAAAAUAAAAUAAAAAGGCUGGGCAUGGUGGCUCACACCUGUAAUCCCAGCACUUUGGGAGGCCAAGGCAGGAGGAGUGCUUGAACCCAGGAGUUUUGAGACCAGCCUGGGCAACACAGUGAGAUCCCAUCUCUAGAAAAAUAAAAAAUUCAGUGUUUCACCCCCAGGACCUAUCUCAGAAGAAAUAUUCAAUAAAUGUGUCCUAGGAAUGAACCGGCCUGGCCACCUCUACUAUUGAGCAGGAGCAGAGUUAGGAAGAUUGAGCAGGAGCAGAGAGGGAUUCCCACCUCCAGCAGACUCUGUUAGUUAAGGACUGAGAAUGUUCCAAAUCUUGUUAAUGAUCUGUCAUGAACUAUUUUCUAGGAAAUGUCCCCCAGAGGGGUGUUUUUCAGCUCUGUACCCCUAGGCCCAAGAGGAUGGGACAGAGGUGAAUAAAAUGUUAUUAAGAAACCUGAGUGGUAGCAAAAGAAGGCCCAGGGCCAUUUUUCCUGCAACCCCAAAACUUGCUACACAGCCACCUCUACUUCAUUAAGCGGGGCUGGGGAGGUGGACAUGGCAGUCAGGAUGCUGGUGACUCCGAUUCCCUGGCCUCUCCUUUUCCUCCUUUUUGGAAAUCUGUUCUCUAAGCAUUUUACUAGUUACAACCCCUUCUGACACAACAAAAGAAGAAAAGGAGAUAAAACUUUAAUCAGAUCAAACAAACUGCAUCUGGCCACAUCUUUUAGUGAGAGGAGAUGGAAAAUCAGGAACAAAAUGGGCUUGGGGAGAAGCAAGCUUCCUGCCCUGGUGGGGACAAUGACUGGCCCUUUGAUUCCCAUGUACUCACCUAAGGAACUCUCACCCCAAAGUCUUGUCAGCCUCACCAGAAAUGAUGCAAGGGUUCCUCCUCCUAGCCAGUCCCAGAGCCAGAGCGGAGGAGGCACAUUCUGCAGGGACCCGCCCCUCCUUCCCUAGACAGAGCGGGGAAAGAACUCUGCCAGCAGGUGGAAACCCCCGUGACUCUGACACCUUCUCUCCACCAGAUCACUUCAAACUUAAGUGAGCUCAGGUUCAUCUGGAGGAUGACUCGGCCUCUGUUCUCUCGUCCCACCUGACGAGAAAUACCCACAGGUGUGGAGGGGCUGGCCCCCUUCACCUGGGUCUCGACUCCUGUUUUGUUCUGCGGUUCCCAUUGCAGUGCUGUGACCCCCCAGAAGCUCAGGAAAACAACUGACUUCCUGGUGUUGCCAACAGGCAGAGAGGAGAUGCAGCCAGUCCUUACCCUGUAGAAGAUGGGGAGGGAGUCCCAGGUGUACGGAUAAGCAAAGGCGAGGACACGAAUCACCUUACAGAGUCUGGGCUUCUGGAUUUCAAGAAACCUAAAUCAGGGAAGGAAAGUGGGGAGGAAAUGGAAUGAAAAGAGUCUCAGCAAAUUGCAUACGCACAUGCAUGCACACCGAGGGCCUGGUCAUCAACAGAGGACAAGCAUUUUUCUACAAGCUCCUGUGGCCAGCAGCUUCUCCACCAGCCUCGUCCAUUCCUCCCACCCCAAUGGAAGUGACAAAACUUCAGAUGCAAAAAGAUCUCCAGGGACACCAUCUCCUGACCAUGGGAAGCAGUGGUGUCCAGACUAAGCCAGAAAGGAGGCGCUGGGCAGAAACCCUUCAAGGGCCAAGUUAUGUAACUGCCAAAGAACCUUUUAAAACUCUAGUUGCUACAGGGACAGGGAACGGGUAGGGGGAAUCGGGGGAUCCACUGCCACAGACUCUUGGGGGGCACACUCUGCAGAGGCUGAGAUGCACCCAUCUAGUUGGAGCCCAGGUAUUAUCAUGCAGGAGACCUGGGUUCAAGUAGGUGUUUGACCCUUGGAGAGCUUUCUGGAAUAUUUAUACCACACACAGGGAUACUUGGCUUGGGAAAACUAAAUAAACGUGAAGUCUUUCCUUCUCUUCUUCAUUGCCACCCUCACCCAACCUCCAAUCCAAAGACAGCUGACAGCAACAUUAAAACAAGUGAUGCUGAUUGUUGAGAAGAGAGGCAGGUCCCCCCAGACAGAACAUGACAGGGCCUCAGCUGACUUGGGCCCAGCCUGGGGCAGCAGCUCAGGGUAUGGGGAACUGGGUAGCACAGACAGCAGGCUGCACACUGGGAGGACAUGGGGAGGGGCAGGGAGGGUCUCUGCACAAAAUCACAGCCCUGAACUGAGGCCUGGGUAAGGAAGUGCUCAUGGGCCCUGGCUGGGCCACCAAGGCCAGGUAGUAGGGACAGGUAAAGUCCCCACAUCAAUGCUGAGGUGUACUGUGGAGGGCUGUGUCCUCCCUUGGGGCCCACAGGGCUGCAGGGUAAGGAACCCAGCACAGUGGAUGCACAGCCACACGCUGAGGCUCUUGGGAUGGCUGUUCUGAUGCAGUCUGUAAAGGCAAUGCAUGCAUCUGGGCCCUUUCAGCCUUUGCUGACAGUUCUGCCCCCUAUCACACUGGAGGGAUGGGGUCUGUGUCCUGCUGUGGCUCCUAUCUCUGCUCCCAAGAACCUCGGUCCCAGUCCACAAGCCUGUUCCUUCUCCUUCAAAUGCCAUCUGCUGUUUCCUCUGAGCCCAGACCGAUUUCACCUGGCCAGGCUGUUCAUAUCUCGUAUGAGCCAGUAAAGCCACCUGACCAUAAACCCAGCUGCUGCCUGUAUCUCUCAGCAUGGAGUAUGCAGGGACUUCCACAUUGGGCAGUUAGGGAACCCUCCUCAGGCAGGUGCCAGAUCUGGUCAGGCCUGGAUCCUGGGGACCCAGCACAGAAGCAGGUCUGAGGAUGCGGACAUUCUCCAGGCUAUUGUGCUCCACUCAGUCCUCAGGGCAACCGAGCACAAAUGGCCCACCCGGAGAUUCCUGUUUCAGGAGAAAGGGACACCACUGUGUGCCCGGAGAAGCCCCACAGCCUCCCAAGACAAACCCCAACUUCACUCCAGCCCACUUUCGUGUUUCUUCUUUCCUGACCCUGCCUGUAAGUCAUACAUGGUACAUGGCAUGUACCAGGUGAGAAGCUCAAGGAGAAGGAACUAGGAUGCAUCAUCCCCCCCGAAAAAGAACCAAACUCCCGGAGAGGUGAGGCAGCGCAGCACUGUGAUUUUAUGUGGAGAGCUUGAUUGGGACACACUGGGUUCAAAUCCUGACCCUGCCCUUCACAACCACGUGACCUCGGCAGGUCACUAACCUUUGUGUACCUCCUGAUCCUCAUGUGUAACACAGGGACAAUGACUGUGCCUUGUCACAGCCUCGUUGUAUGGAUUUGAUGAAACGAUGCUCCCGAGGUGUUUAGAACUGUGCAUGGCACAGUCGCACAGACUAAACAGCAGCUUUUAAAAACACAUGCAUCGUGGAGCUCCAUUCUCUCCCCAUCCCCACCUUGUAUCUAUGUUGGUCCAGAUAAUAGGAACAGGAGGGAACAAAUAGGUUCUGGGUGAUUUGCCUGAAGUCAGAUGAGCCAAUAAGAAGCAGAGCUAGGAUUUAAACCCUGGGCUUUCUGGCCCCCAAGUGUCACCCCCUCUGUCUCAGGCAGUAGGCUGCGCAGACUCAGACCCCGCCCGGCCUUCACCCUUCCCUGCCCGCUCUGCCCCUGGAGCAGAGGGCACACACUCCUGCUAUCCCGAGAGCCAGGUAUCUGCCUCACCGGCCUUCUUAGUCCUCCGGCAGACCCUGCCCUGCCGCGGCAGGCCGCCCCCUCCUGCCCUGUGCCCUGCCACCGCCUGCCGUCUCCAGGUUGAGAGGCUCGCUCUUAAAGGGCCCCUGUGGCCACUUACACGCGAAGAAAUCUGGCUGUGGCUGGCGAAGGCCAUCCCCCAAAGCAUGGAUUUUCUGUGACUUGAGACAACAUUUCGCUCGGCCUGAUAAAGUGUUUCCCCAGGGGCAAACGGACCAGCCUCUCCAGCUGCAAAGCCGGGUCUAGAGGGAAAAGAGAAGGAGAAAAAGCAGAAGAGAAGAGAGACAGCAACAGAGAGAAAAAGGCAGAAGGGCCAGUAGCUCGGGAGAGGGGCCGUCCGCUACCAAGUUGCAGUUCCGCAUUAGGCCACGCGAUGUCGCCACAGCCAGAGCAGAACCACAGCCGCAGCAUCCUCAGAGGCGCCCCACGUGCGGCCCCACAGCCCAGCCUGCUCGGGCUUAGGGCAGUCCCGCACCAGAGGGCUAAGGGGCUGCUAUAGAGGAAGUGAGGUCUCUGCUCAGAACGAGGUUGGCAGGACACACUGGGUUACGGGAGAAGCCUUCGUUAAGAAAGGGUCGAUUCAACACAAUCUGACAAAAAAGCUGGAAGGAUUGGCAACUGGAAUUCCGGAACUAGGGCUUGAAACUAGCGGGCCUUUGGAAAAAUCAUUCUAUUGCAGAGGCGCACGCACGAGUGCACGUGUGUGUGUACAUGGGGGCGGUAGUUAUGGUUGUUUUAUUGUGUAGGAGUUGUCUUAUUUUGGAGAACUGCAGGGAUGUAGACAUUUCCCCAUGCCCCUAACUGGCUAUAGCAGCACUUUAUCCUCUGGCCAAGCCUCUGUCUGAGAACCAUGUCUGCUGAGCCUUCUACCUCCAGCGCUGACCUCAAACCCCUUCCAGGUCAGCUCCACCCCUCUGAACUGCCUCAGCAACUGCCUCUAAGCUGUCCUUAGAGCAGAGCUCAUGGGUGAAAAUUAAUCUCUCGCCCUCACUGCUCUGACCAGGAGGUUUUUCACUCAGCAGCUCUUUGAAAAAAAAAAAACAAAAAACAAAAAAAAAACAAUCAAUGGUUGGAUGCACUGGAAGGAGAUGGACAGUGAUUUGUCCAUACAGUACUUGCUGUGUAACUGACAUUCCUGAAGGGAGUGGCAGCCGUUUCCUGUGCAGGCAUGAGCAGGCCAGGGCCUCGGCCACCCCCACCUUGCUCCAAGAACCACGAAGAGGGCACGCAUUCUCUCAUUUCCCCUCUCAAAUGCUACAGAAUGAGAAGGCAGUUUUCUGGAACAUUUUCAUUUGAACCAAAGUCCAUGACAAUAAGAACCAAAAACCACUCAGGGGACGACAAAGCUCUCUAUGUUGAGAUUGGCCUUAAUGGUCUGCCUUGUAAUGGAACGAAUGCCAUUUCAACCCUGAUUUUCGGGCAAGCAUCAGAUAACUGUCAAGCAAAUACUGAGGUUCCUGGUCUCCCCCAGGAGGUCUUCCCCUCCCUGGAGGGGAAGGUGGUUCUCUCCCGCUCCUGCCCAACUGCAGCCGGAUGGAGCAGGAGGGAGAGGCAGGGGUGGAGCCUGGGGGAGGAAGACAGCUGGGAAAGGAAGCUUGGAGAAGACACUAAGGCAUCGACAUUGCACGAUGCCCAAACCAGAGAGGACCCAGAGGGUAUUGUCUCAGAUGCCCUCAUUGAAGACGUAGACCCUGAGGCCCAGAGUGGACAGUGACUGCCCUGAGGCCAUACAGCAAGUCUGGGGGAGCAGGGUUGAAAUUCAGGCCUCCAGAUACCCACACCCUCCUCUCUACCCACUUCUUCUGAAAUUACUCAGGGCCAGCAUCACUUCUGCACACGAGUCAGCUUUCUCACUCUCCAGACACCAAAGGCAGAGACAGGGAAUGAAGAGAGGGGAGGACAGGCCUUGUAAGAGCAGCAAAACCAUGGGUCAGGGAACGUGGAGCGAGGACGAGGUACAAAGGGCACUGGAAGGGCCACAUGCCCACUCUACCUUUGGGUGCAAGAGUGUGGCAUGUGCCCCCUUCCUCCUUUUUGAUUCCAACAUAGCCCCUCACCUCCCUCUCCCCUCAGCUCCCACUUCAGUUGCUGCUAAUAUGCCUGGAAACCCCUCAGGGCAUGGAAGCUGAGUGCGUAGGAUUUUUUUUUUUCCCUAAGAGAUUCUCAUCCUUCAUGAGCAAAGGGCCAGUCCUCAUAGGACCCACAGGCCCCCAGCCCACCAUCCAAGCCCCUCUGUAGCUGCUCUCCUCCAUCUACUCUUGCAGACUCUGGCAGCUCUAACACACCUUGCUGCUUCCCCACCCUGGCCCACCCUCUCUGUAGUCCUCAUCCUUGUCCUGGCUGGUUGCUAUGUCCUCCUCUUCAGCUAAAGUGUUCUACCUCCUUCAAUAUCCAGUCCUAAAGCCACUUCUCAGAACCCUGUGUAUACCGGCAGGUGUCAUUCUGCCUUAUCAUUAUUUGUUUACAUUACACUCCCUCCUGCUACACUCUAACGGAAAUCAUGGCCUCAUGGACCUCUGGGGGCAUCUGCAGUCUGUCUCUCCUAUGGCACUGGGUGCUCUCUGAAGGCAAGGGCAUCCUUCUGGCACCCUCAGCUCCUAACGUGGUACCUGGAGUAUGGCAGGCAUUUAAGGAAUGUUAGAUGGGUGGGCGGGUGUGUAGAUGGGUGGAUAGAUGGAAUAGGCACAGAUGUACUCCAUAAAUAAAUAACCCAUUUCAUUGGCAAAGGGAGAAGCCCCCAAACUCAGGCACCCAGGAGAUGUCUGGCAAAGCUGCCCUGACAGAUAAGUUCCUCCAAAGACACCAGGCAUGCCACAUCCAAAAGACCCCAUCCGUUAUAUCUGAACCAUCAGGGAAGACUCCUGGCUAGAAGAAAGUAAUCUAGGCUGGGCAGGGUGGCUCACACCUGUAAUACCAGCACUUUGGGAGGCUGAGGAGAGUGGAUCAUCUGAGGUCAGGAGCUCGAGACCAGCCUGGCCAACAUGGCGAAACCUUGUCUCUACUUAAAACAAAAAAAAAUAAAAUAAAACCAGCAAGUGUUCUAAGAAUUUGAAUUAUGAGCUCAUGGGGAAGCCAUCUUGGAUCAUUCACUCUGGAGACAAUUUCUUUUUUUUCUUGGCUCCACUGCCCGGGCUGGAGUACAGUGGCAUGCUCUCAGCUCACUGCAACCUCUGCCUCCUGGGUUCAAGCGAUUCUCCUGCCUCAGCCUCUUGAGUAGCUGGGAUUACAGGUACCUGCCACCACACCCAGCUAACUUUCGUAUUUUUAGUGGAGACAGGUUUUCACCACAUUGGCCAGGCUGGUCUUGAACUCCUGACCUCAGGUGAUCCACCCACCUGGCGCUCCCAAAAUGCUGGGAUUACAGGUGUGAGCCACUGCACCCAGCCUCACUCUGGAGACUUUCUUCCACACUCACGAAGCCUUCUCUUCCUCCUCUGCCCCCUCAACCUGUGGUACUCUCCCUGUCUAAUCCUAAAUUUCAAACGCCAGAGCCACACAGCCCUAGGAGAGCGAACCAGAUGGGGCAGUGACUGGUCCAAGGACCAGGUCCAAGAGUGUCCAGGUUCCUGGACCAUGGCCAGUCCACAAGCCCAUGCACCCAGGUCUCCGGGGCUUGCUUCAUCUCUGCUGGACUUGUUUCCGCAGGGUUAUUACUGUUCUAUAUCUGUUAUACCUCCCUUCAUCCACGGCAGGGACUCCUAGAAACAGACUUUCACUCCCAUGGAAGGCAGCUCCACACUUCCAACCCACCUUAGCGCAGGUGAAUGGAAGGCGAAUUGGAACAAGUAUUCCCAAUGCUGUUUCAGAAUCUAUCCUUCCAUUUAAAAAUAAAAAACAGAAACAAAAAAACUGGUUUGUCCUGUUUGUGAAACUUGCCUGCUCUCCCUUGUGAAACUUGCUGGCCCCACACAUCCCAAGUGUCACCCAAAGGAAUUUGGAGACAAAAUCAUUCUGGAGAAGUUACCAGAUGGGGCAUAUCUCACCUGCCUGUUUUUUCCUGGGGAGAGGGGGGCAAGUGGAGGCAGGGAGACUCCACUGGCUCGCUGGAGUUGCCAUUGCGGGAGGACAGAGAACUCAGAUGUACCUGCCAGCUUACCUUUCCUGACCAGCACGAAAGGCCCCCAGCCCAAAAGUACCAGCCUUGGCCCUAUUCAGCCAGGGCUGUCACCCCAACACAACCAUUUGGGAGAUUUCCUGAGUAUUUUAGGGAAAAGGAACUUUCAGGCAGUUCACUUCUACAAAGAGCUGAAUAAAUUGGUGUAGUUAUCCCCAUAACAACAUUCUCUGCACUCACACCCCCAUGAGUUUUCUUGAAAGAAAAAAAAAAAAAACAGUGGGAAUUAGAGCGCGUAAGCUGGGCCUGACUCACUGAUGAGGGAUGCAUAGGGCAUUUGAAUAACACCAUCAUCCAUCACAUAUGCCCAGAGGCAGACACACCCAGUCACCAUUAGUGACCACACAUUUAUGGGACAUCUCCUCUGUGCCAGGCUUGUGCUAAGUGUCCUGGGUACAUUACCUGUAAUCCUUCCAUUUGUCUUAGGGGUAUUUGUAAUGGCCUCAUUUUAUAGAUGAGCAAACUGAAGUUCAGGGUGGAUAAGCCACUUGUCCAGCAAAUGGAACCAGCUGCAUAAUUUGUAAAGCCUUGUACCGAAUCAAAGAGCAGGGACCUCCCUGUUCAAAAAUUAUUACAAAUUAUUAAGAAUGCAGCAGACGAGCCCAGGAAGGCGAGGCUACAGUGAGCUGAGAUCGCACCACUGCAUUCCAGCCUGGGCCACAGAGAGAGACCCUGUCUCAAAAAAA
rnacentral:lncRNA from 1 species